AAUCAACGCUGGCGGCGUGCCUAACACAUGCAAGUCGAACGCGACUGGGGCUUCGGCCUCAGUUGAGUGGCGAACGGGUGAGUAACACGUGGGUGACCUACCUUCGAAUGGGGGAUAACGUCCCGAAAGGGACGCUAAUACCGCAUAACAUCCUGCCUUUGAACAGGCGGAGAUCAAAGCCGGGGAUCGCAAGACCUGGCGUUUGAAGAGGGGGCCCGCGUCCGAUUAGCUAGUU
rnacentral:rRNA from 1 species